UACGGGGGGGGCAAGCGUUGUUCGGAAUUACUGGGCGUAAAGGGCUCGUAGGCGGCCAACUAAGUCCGACGUGGAAUCCCCAGGCUUAACCUGGGAACUGCGUCGGAUACUGGAUGGCUUGAAUCCGGGAGAGGGAUGCGGAAUUCCAGGUGUAGCGGUGAAAUGCGUAGAUAUCUGGAGGAACACCGGUGGCGAAGGCGGCAUCCUGGACCGGCAUUGACGCUGAGGAGCGAAAGCCAGGGGAGCAAACGGG
rnacentral:rRNA from 1 species